rnacentral:rRNA from 1 species
UGAAACUGCUCAAAGGUAAACGGGUGGGCCCUCGAAAUCCGAUGGCGGGGGGAUUCAGUCAGGUGGUGCGGAGACGUCGCCGGCCGUUCAAACGGACCCGUCCAGGCCGGGCCGGUGGCGAGAGUCUCUGACCUCCCUGACGCACUUCCUCCCGCUCGUAGGACGCCGCAACCGGUCGGGUAGACGCGUGCGUCGGCCAUAAGGAGGGGCGCCGGAAGGUGACCGGUGGCGGGGCUCGUUCCCCGCCGCCGGUUGUUUAUCCAGUCCGUCCGUGGCACGACACCCGACCGAGGUUCAGUGGUCCUGUUGGGACCCAGCUGUGCCCUCCAAAGAGGAGCGGGCAAGUCGGCAGGCGAGCUGCGGUGGCGUUUCACCACUCGAGAAGUGGUCGACCCACCGUGGCCGCUGCUGGCUGGAGUUGUCCCGCGGAGGUGCCGGCGGUUGGCGGCGAGUAGGUCGGUCACCCACCCGACCCGUCUUGAAACACGGACCAAGGAGUCUAACAUGUGCGCGAGUCACGGGGUCUUGUACAGGCCCAGAGGCGCAAUGAAAGUGAAGGCCGGACUCGAUUCCGGCUGUGUUGGGACUCUCCGCGCUAGUCGCGGGGAAGCACCAACGACCCGUCCUAUCCUAUUCUUAGGUGGGGCGGAGUUAGAGCGCACACGUUGGGACCCGAAAGAUGGUGAACUAUGCCUGGGCAGGACGAAGCCAGAGGAAACUCUGGUGGAGGUCCGUAGCGGUUCUGACGUGCAAAUCGAUCGUCAGACCCGGGUAUAGGGGCGAAA